GUCCCGUUCGUCUAGAGGCCUAGGACACCGCCCUUUCACGGCGGCAACACGGGUUCGAAUCCCGUACGGGACACCA
rnacentral:tRNA from 16 species